rnacentral:rRNA from 1 species
AGUGAACGCUGGCGGCAGGCCUAACACAUGCAAGUCGAACGAGUGGCGGACGGGUGAGCAAUACAUCGGCAUCUACUCUGUCGAGGGGGAUAACGUGGGGAAACCUACGCUAAUACCGCAUACGAUCGUAUGAGCCGAUGUCGGUUUAGCUAGUAGGCGGGGAAAAGGCACACCAAGGCGACGAUCCGUAGCUGGGCUGAGAGGAUGAUCGGCCACACUGGAACUGAGACACGGUCCAGACUCCUACGGGAGGCAGCAGUGGGGAAUAUUGGACAAUGGGCGCAAGCCUGAUCCAGCCAUGCCGCGUGGAUGAAGAAGGCCUUCGGGUUGUAAAGCCCUUUUGUUGGGAAAGCGGUACCCAAAGAAUAAGCACCGGCUAACUUCGUGCCAGCAGCCGCGGUAAUUC